UCUGAUUCUCUUCACAUCAUCUUAUUCCUCCAGACCACCACUUUCCUUCUAUUCAACUCCUCCAUCUUCCACAUAUACUCACCAGAAGACAUCCCUAUUUCUCUUCUUCACCACCAAGAAUCAACACCAUCUCUUCCUCACUCCCGCUUACCAUUCUCACUGCCGCACACCCUUCAAACCCACUACUGCAAUCUUCCGAUAUCACCACCCAACAUACCGCUCUCCUCCACAACCUCAUCACUGUCACCUUCUGAUCGUUCUCAACUCCAUGCCGUUUUAACCUCCGUCACACAACACCACUUCUCACAAAUAAAAACAAAUCCACACCAUCAUCAUUGA